rnacentral:lncRNA from 1 species
UGGCACCCUGCGUCUACGGCUGAAAUAAAAGUUAAUGUAGCUGUCCCCAACAUUCAUAUUUAAUGUUAAAACAUAAGCAUAUAAUGUAGCCAAAAACAGAAGCCUAUUACAAAACAAAUCUAUUGAGGCCAGAUGCACACGUGGGUGUAGAUAAAUUAAUUAUAUGCCCAUUAACCAAGGUUAUAUUAAGAAAUUACAUUAUUCGUAAAGUAAAUAAUUUAAUUAAACAAAUGAUAAUAAAUAGAUUAUACAAAACAUAUAUUUUUAUAUAAAAAAUUAUGUUACUUAAAUCCAAGUUAUACCUCCCCAAUGCUUCCAACAUAGCACGGCUUGUGAUUUUAUUUAAAACUCUCAUGAUAUAG